UCCCUUAGUAACUGCGAGUGAAGAGGGAAAAGCUCAAAUUUAAAAUCUGGCAGUGUUUCACUGUCCGAGUUGUAACCUAGAGAAGUGUAACCUGUGCUGGACCGUGUAUAAGUCUCCUGGAAUGGAGCAUCAUAGAGGGUGAGAAUCCCGUCUUUGACAUGGACUACCAGUGCAUUGUGGUUGCGCUCUCAACGAGUCGAGUUGUUUGGGAAUGCAGCUCUAAAUGGGUGGUAAAUUCCAUCUAAAGCUAAAUAUUGGCGAGAGACCGAUAGCGAACAAGUACCGUGAGGGAAAGAUGAAAAGAACUUUGGAAAGAGAGUUAAACAGUAUGUGAAAUUGUUGAAAGGGAAACGUUUGAAGUCAGUCGCGUUGGUUGGGGAUCAGCCUGACAUUGUUGGGUGUACUUCCUGGUUGACGGGCCAACAUCAGUUUUGACUGCCAGAAAAAGGCCAAAGGAAUGUGGCACCUUUGGGUGUGUUAUAGCCCUUGGUCGUAUAUGGUGGUUGGGACUGAGGAAAGCAGCGUGCCGAAAGGCCGGGUUUCGACCACGUUCACGCUGAGGAUGUUGGCAUAAUGGCUUUAAGCGACCCGUCUUGAAACACGGACCAAGGAGUCUAACAUGCGUGCGAGUGUUUGGGUGGAAAACCCUUACGCGUAAUGAAAGUGAAAGUUGAGAUCCCUGUCGCGGGGAGCAUCGACGCCCGGACCAGAACUUUUGGGACGGAUCUGCGGUAGAGCAUGUAUGUUGGGACCCGAAAGAUGGUGAACUAUGCCUGAAUAGGGUGAAGCCAGAGGAAACUCUGGUGGAGGCUCGUAGCGAUUCUGACGUGCAAAUCGAUCGUCAAAUUUGGGUAUAGGGGCGAAAGACUAAUCGAACCAUCUAGUAGCUGGUUCCUGCCG
rnacentral:rRNA from 1 species